rnacentral:lncRNA from 1 species
GAUUACGUCAGAGGAUGUUCUUUUCCUCUGAAGAUGCGCUGACAUUUCUAAGAGUAAGAUGGCACAAUACGACAGGCUGAUCUCCAGAUGGCUUAGCUGAGGAGAAGUGAGAAUGCCAGCCUAGAAGGAGCAAAGGAGAGCCAGUGUGGGAAGUGCUUGCCAGCCUCUGCCUCUGCCCGAAUGGACACACGGACACUCGCUGCACUCUUCUUUCCAUUUCCCUCAGGUAUCUCUGCCUCUCUUCACUGCUACAAACAAACAGCAAACUGCAAACUCCUGGCAGUGCUGCUGGGAUGAAGAUUGAGAGGAUACAGCCAGACUGGCUCUCUUCCCCACGAAAACAUCUGGUAUGAAUCAGGCCUUGCAG